rnacentral:rRNA from 1 species
GGACGCCUCAGAGAUGGGGUUUCCCUUCGGGGCUGGUAUACAGGUGGUGCAUGGUUGUCGUCAGCUCGUGUCGUGAGAUGUUGGGUUAAGUCCCGCAACGAGCGCAACCCUCGUUCUAUGUUGCCAGCACGUUAUGGUGGGGACUCAUAGGAGACUGCCGGGGUCAACUCGGAGGAAGGUGGGGAUGACGUCAAAUCAUCAUGCCCCUUAUGUCUUGGGCUUCACGCAUGCUACAAUGGCCGGUACAAAGGGUUGCGAUACUGUGAGGUUGAGCUAAUCCCAAAAAGCCGGUCUCAGUUCGGAUUGGGGUCUGCAACUCGACCCCAUGAAGUCGGAGUCGCUAGUAAUCGCAGAUCAGCAACGCUGCGGUGAAUACGUUCCCGGGCCUGUAACACACCAA